CACCAUUUAAACUGUAGGCCACAGACUGGUG
rnacentral:piRNA from 1 species